rnacentral:tRNA from 1 species
AAAAAUUUAGUUAAUUAAUAACAUUAAUUUGUCAAAUUAAAAUAAUUUUUU